UCGCAUAUAUAUCAACAUAUGUGUAACUCCAUCUAUUGAAAAAAAUCCGCAUUAUGUGCUAGAGCAAUGUCUGUUCUUUUCCUCUACAUUGAAAGGACUGUUUAUCCUCUUAAAUGUAUUCAUAAAGUCAGCACAUUA